UACAGAGGGGGCAAGCGUUGUUCGGAAUUACUGGGCGUAAAGGGCGUGUAGGCGGCCUUCUAAGUCGAACGUGAAAUCCCCGGGCUCAACCCGGGAACUGCGUCCGAGACUGGAAGGCUUGAAUCCGGGAGAGGGAUGUGGAAUUCCUGGUGUAGCGGUGGAAUGCGCAGAUAUCAGGAGGAACACCGGUGGCGAAGGCGGGACUCUGGGCCGAUACUGACGCUGAGGAGCGAAAGCGUGGGGAGCAAACAGG
rnacentral:rRNA from 1 species